GACGAACGCUGGCGGCGUGCUUAACACAUGCAAGUCGAACGGUAAGGCCCUUCGGGGUACACGAGUGGCGAACGGGUGAGUAACACGUGGGUGAUCUGCCCUGCACUUCGGGAUAAGCCUGGGAAACUGGGUCUAAUACCGGAUAGGACCACUGCCUGCAUGGGUGGUGGUGGAAAGCUUUUGCGGUGUGGGAUGGGCCCGCGGCCUAUCAGCUUGUUGGUGGGGUGAUGGCCUACCAAGGCGACGACGGGUAGCCGGCCUGAGAGGGUGACCGGCCACACUGGGACUGGGAUACUGCCCAGACUCCUACGGGAGGCAGCAGUGGGGAAUAUUGCACAAUGGGAGCAAGCCUGAUGCAGCGACGCCGCGUGAGGGAUGACGGCCUUCGGGUUGUAAACCUCUUUCAGCACCGACGAAGCGCAAGUGACGGUAGGUGCAGAAGAAGGACCGGCCAACUACGUGCCAGCCGCCGCCGUAACAC
rnacentral:rRNA from 1 species